rnacentral:rRNA from 1 species
UACGGGGGGGGCAGGCGUUGUUCGGAAUUACUGGGCGUAAAGGGUUCGUAGGUGGCUGGCUAAGUCAGACGUGAAAUCCCUCAGCUCAACUGGGGAACUGCGUCUGAGACUGGUCAGCUUGAGUGCAGGAGAGGAACGCGGAAUUCCAGGUGUAGCGGUGAAAUGCGUAGAUAUCUGGAGGAACACCGGUGGCGAAGGCGGCGUUCUGGACUGCAACUGACACUGAGGAACGAAAGCCAGGGGAGCAAACGGG